GAUGAACGCUGGCGGCGUGCCUAAUACAUGCAAGUCGAGCGAACAGAUGAGGAGCUUGCUCCUCUGACGUUAGCGGCGGACGGGUGAGUAACACGUGGAUAACCUACCUAUAAGACUGGGAUAACUUCGGGAAACCGGAGCUAAUACCGGAUAAUAUAUUGAACCGCAUGGUUCAAUAGUGAAAGACGGUUUUGCUGUCACUUAUAGAUGGAUCCGCGCCGCAUUAGCUAGUUGGUAAGGUAACGGCUUACCAAGGCAACGAUGCGUAGCCGACCUGAGAGGAUGAUCGGCCACACUGGAACUGAGACACGGUCCAGACUCCUACGGGAGGCAGCAGUAGGGAAUCUUCCGCAAUGGGCGAAAGCCUGACGGAGCAACGCCGCGUGAGUGAUGAAGGUCUUCGGAUCGUAAAGCUCUGUUAUUAGGGAAGAACAAAUGUGUGAGUAACUAUGCACGUCUUGACGGUACCUAAUCAGAAAGCCACGGCUAACUACGUG
rnacentral:rRNA from 1 species